CGAGUUGUUUGGGAAUGCAGCUCUAAAUGGGUGGUAAAUUUCAUCUAAAGCUAAAUACAGGUCGGAGACCGAUAGCGCACAAGUAGAGUGAUCGAAAGAUGAAAAGCACUUUGAAAAGAGAGUUAAACAGCAUGUGAAAUUGUUGAAAGGGAAGCGUUUGCGACCAGAGUCGGCCGCCGGGGUUCAGCGGGCUUUCGGGCCCGUGCAUUUCCCGGUGGUCGGGCCAGCGUCGGUUUGGGCGGUCGGUCAAAGGCUCCUGGAAUGUAGCGCCCUCCGGGGCGUCUUAUAGCCAGGGGUGCAAUGCGGCCCGCCCGGACCGAGGAACGCGCUUCGGCACGGACGCUGGCUUAAUGGUCGUAAGUGACCCGUCUUGAAACACGGACCAAGGAGUCUAACAUCCACGCGAGUGUUCGGGUGUCAAACCCGUCCGCGCAGUGAAAGCGAACGGAGGUGAGAGCCUCUCGCAAGAGGGGUGCAUCAUCGACCGAUCCUGAAGUCUUCGGAUGGAUUUGAGUAAGAGCGUGGCUGUGGGGACCCGAAAGAUGGUGAACUAUGCCUGAAUAGGGUGAAGCCAGAGGAAACUCUGGUGGAGGCUCGCAGCGGUUCUGACGUGCAAAUCGAUCGUCAAAUUUGGGUAUAGGGGCGAAAGACUAAUC
rnacentral:misc_RNA from 1 species